rnacentral:rRNA from 1 species
UUGAACGCUGGCGGCAGGCCUAACACAUGCAAGUCGCGCGGAUGAAGGGAGCUUGCUCCUGGAUUCAGCGGCGGACGGGUGAGUAAUGCCUAGGAAUCUGCCUGGUAGUGGGGGAUAACGUCCGGAAACGGGCGCUAAUACCGCAUACGUCCUGAGGGAGAAAGUGGGGGAUCUUCGGACCUCACGCUAUCAGAUGAGCCUAGGUCGGAUUAGCUAGUUGGUGGGGUAAAGGCCUACCAAGGCGACGAUCCGUAACUGGUCUGAGAGGAUGAUCAGUCACACUGGAACUGAGACACGGUCCAGACUCCUACGGGAGGCAGCAGUGGGGAAUAUUGGACAAUGGGCGAAAGCCUGAUCCAGCCAUGCCGCGUGUGUGAAGAAGGUCUUCGGAUUGUAAAGCACUUUAAGUUGGGAGGAAGGGCAGUAAGUUAAUACCUUGCUGUUUUGACGUUACCAACAGAAUAAGCACCGGCUAACUUCGUA